rnacentral:rRNA from 1 species
UUCUCAGUAACGUAGCUAACGCGUGAAGUUGACCGCCUGGGGAGUACGGUCGCAAGAUUAAAACUCAAAGGAAUUGACGGGGACCCGCACAAGCGGNGGAUGAUGUGGAUUAAUUCGAUGCAACGCGAAAAACCUUACCUACCCUUGACAUGCCACUAACGAAGCAGAGAUGCAUUAGGUGCCCGAAAGGAAAAGUGGACACAGGUGCUGCAUGGCUGUCGUCAGCUCGUGUCGUGAGAUGUUGGGUUAAGUCCCGCAACGAGCGCAACCCUUGUCUCUAGUUGCUACGCAAGAGCACUCUAGAGAGACUGCCGGUGACAAACCGGAGGAAGGUGGGGAUGACGUCAAGUCCUCAUGGCCCUUAUGGGUAGGGCUUCACACGUCAUACAAUGGUGCGUACAGAGGGUUGCCAACCCGCGAGGGGGAGCUAAUCCCAGAAAACGCAUCGUAGUCCGGAUCGUAGUCUGCAACUCGACUACGUGAAGCUGGAAUCGCUAGUAAUCGCGGAUCAGCA